GACGAACGCUGGCGGCGUGCCUAAUACAUGCAAGUCGAGCGGAUCUUCAUUAGCUUGCUUUUGAAGAUCAGCGGCGGACGGGUGAGUAACACGUGGGCAACCUGCCUGUAAGACUGGGAUAACUUCGGGAAACCGGAGCUAAUACCGGAUAAUCCUUUCCCUCACAUGAGGGAAAGCUGAAAGACGGUUUCGGCUGUCACUUACAGAUGGGCCCGCGGCGCAUUAGCUAGUUGGUGAGGUAAUGGCUCACCAAGGCGACGAUGCGUAGCCGACCUGAGAGGGUGAUCGGCCACACUGGGACUGAGACACGGCCCUGACUCCUACGGGAGGCAGCAGUAGGGAAUCUUCCGCAAUGGACGAAAGUCUGACGGAGCAACGCCGCGUGAGCGAUGAAGGCCUUCGGGUCGUAAAGCUCUGUUGUCAGGGAAGAACAAGUAUCGGAGUAACUGCCGGUACCUUGACGGUACCUGACCAGAAAGCCACGGCUAACUACGUGCCAGCCGCCGCGGUAAUAC
rnacentral:rRNA from 1 species